GGUCACAUCUUGAAACGAUCAGUCCAUGAUGCAUCCGGCCAUAUCCCUAUAUAAUAAGGACACAAUACUCUUUUCCCAGGCUCUUGAUCUUUGGUCGUCAGUGCGUGCGCACGGACCGUCAGAUUAGAAAAGGAGUAUCCUGUGACAAGUGACCACCGUGUACGAAUAUUUAACUUUUAUAAUUAAUUUGUUUGAUUUGAGUUUUCUAUGCGUGUGUUGAAAAGUAUCCAACUGCAUACCAAAUCCUGUAUUUGUCUCAUUUCAACUUCAUUGCACUCCUGCGAUAGUUGUAAGUGCACAGCUUGUCGUCAUUCGAAUAACUGCUACAAUAUAAAUAAUAGUUCGGGCUACUCACAAUGCUGUUAUGUCAGUGAACGAAGUAGAAGAUUUACACAAUUAUCAACGUGGUACUCACAGUAUGCUAUGCUAAAAUAUAGCGUAACCUAUGAUGGUAGCGUCGAACGACUAUCUACAGGUAAAUGACGUCAGGAAACUUCGGAUACAGAUGUCGAGCGGGCACUCUUCCUGGUGGUGGCUCGUUCAAACUCAGACGGCGACGGCUCAAUUGAUCAGUAGUGACGACUCCUUGACUCCUCCUGGUGGUUUCUAAAGUGCACGUCGAUCUCCGUUGUACUUGACGGCGACAAUCCGUACGGCGGCUGUUGAGCAACAAGGGUUAAGGGUCUGAUUCAGGGGCGGAUCUAGGGACCUUGAUUUGGACUCUUGGACAGUUGGCCCAUCGGAG